rnacentral:rRNA from 1 species
CGCAUGGGGUGUGCCYGGAAAGAUUUAUCGGUGGGGGAUGGACUCGCGGCCUAUCAGCUUGUUGGUGGGGUAAUGGCCCACCAAGGCGACGACGGGGUAGCCGGCCUGAGAGGGCGACCGGCCACACUGGGACUGAGAUACGGCCCAGACUCCUACGGGAGGCAGCAGUGGGGAAUAUUGCACAAUGGGCGCAAGCCUGAUGCAGCGACGCCGCGUGGGGGAUGAAGGCCUUCGGGUUGUAAACCCCUUUCAGCAGGGAAGAAGCGAGAGUGACGGUACCUGCAGAAGAAGCGCCGGCUAACUACGUGCCAGCAGCCGCGGUAAUACGUAGGGCGCAAGCGUUGUCCGGAAUUAUUGGGCGUAAAGAGCUCGUAGGCGGUUUGUCGCGUCUGGUGUGAAAACUCAAGGCUCAACCUUGAGCUUGCACCGGGUACGGGCAGACUAGAGUGCGGUAGGGGUGACUGGAAUUCCUGGUGUAGCGGUGGAAUGCGCAGAUAUCAGGAGGAACACCGAUGGCGAAGGCAGGUCACUGGGCCGCAACUGACGCUGAGGAGCGAAAGCAUGGGGAGCGAACAGGAUUAGAUACCCUGGUAGUCCAUGCCGUAAACGUUGGGCACUAGGUGUGGGGCUCAUUCCACGAGUUCCGUGCCGCAGCAAACGCAUUAA